UUUGAACGCUGGCGGCAGGCCUAACACAUGCAAGUCGAGCGGCAGCGGAAAGUAGCUUGCUACUUUGCCGGCGAGCGGCGGACGGGUGAGUAAUGUCUGGGAAACUGCCUGAUGGAGGGGGAUAACUACUGGAAACGGUAGCUAAUACCGCAUAACGUCGCAAGACCAAAGGGGGGGACCUUCGGGCCUCUUGCCAUCAGAUGUGCCCAGAUGGGAUUAGCUAGUAGGUGGGGUAACGGCUCACCUAGGCGACGAUCCCUAGCCGGUCUGAGAGGAUGACCAGCCCCACUGGAACUGAGACACGGUCCAGACUCCUACGGGAGGCAGCAGUGGGGAAUAUUGCACAAUGGGCGCAAGCCUGAUGCAGCCAUGCCGCGUGUAUGAAGAAGGCCUUCGGGUUGUAAAGUACUUUCAGCGGGGAGGAAGGCGAUAAGGUUAAUAACCUUGUCGAUUGACGUUACCCGCAGAAGAAGCACCGGCUAACUCCGUGCCAGCAGCCGCGGUAA
rnacentral:rRNA from 1 species